rnacentral:rRNA from 1 species
ACGUGAGUAACCUGCCCUUGACUCUGGGAUAAGCCUGGGAAACUGGGUCUAAUACUGGAUACUACCUCCCAUCGCAUGGUGGGUGGUGGAAAGGGUUUUACUGGUUUUGGAUGGGCUCACGGCCUAUCAGCUUGUUGGUGGGGUAAUGGCUCACCAAGGCGACGACGGGUAGCCGGCCUGAGAGGGUGACCGGCCACACUGGGACUGAGACACGGCCCAGACUCCUACGGGAGGCAGCAGUGGGGAAUAUUGCACAAUGGGCGGAAGCCUGAUGCAGCGACGCCGCGUGAGGGAUGACGGCCUUCGGGUUGUAAACCUCUUUCAGUAGGGAAGAAGCGAAAGUGACGGUACCUGCAGAAGAAGCGCCGGCUAACUACGUGCCAGCAGCCGCGGUAAUACGUAGGGCGCAAGCGUUGUCCGGAAUUAUUGGGCGUAAAGAGCUCGUAGGCGGUUUGUCGCGUCUGCUGUGAAAGCCCGGGGCUCAACCCCGGGUCUGCAGUGGGUACGGGCAGACUAGAGUGCAGUAGGGGAGACUGGAAUUCCUGGUGUAGCGGUGAAAUGCGCAGAUAUCAGGAGGAACACCGAUGGCGAAGGC